rnacentral:miRNA from 1 species
UGAGGCAGGAGAAUUGCUUGAACCCAGGAGGUGGAGGCUGCAGUGAGCUGAAAUCGUGCCACUGCACUCCAGCCUGGGUGACAGAGCGAGACUCCAUCU